GACCGGCGGCAGCAGGGGAAGCAGAGCAGAGCGGCAGGCAACGCCGGAAAAACGAGUGUAAAUGUGGAAGAAAACAACGGUCAGAUCGUCGCUUUGGUUUGUGAGACUAUUACUGUUCACGCCGGGAUGUUAAAAGCAACCUUUGAGCUGGACGCUGAGCAAAGGUAUCACCACUUGAGUCGGUAGUGACGGAGUUCCCUGAUUUGACGGCAUUGUCCGCAAUCAGAGAGAUGUUUUCGAUGAUCACAGAGACGUCGUCCACAAUCACAGAGAUGUAGUCCAUGAUCACGGAGUGUCUUGGUACAAUGAAGAAGUUCUUUGAGGCCAGGACAGAGGCCUCCAUAUGGAGACGACGGCAGCUGAAGUUCUGGACCUGAAGUGGAUCAAAGAAAACAUUAAUGAAGCUGGUUAUAUUUUACAGAUAAACUUAAUACAACUGAGACUGUUUUUGUCCCCCCUCCUGUACACUACCUCCAACCCUUCCCUCCCCCUCAACCACUCGGAGAUGCUUUGUUUUAUGUUAGGAGGAGGAGGAGACGGCAUCACCUGAAGAGGACAACAGAAGUAGCUAAAUGUUCUUAGAGAUGUGCAAGCUUUUAAUAAUCUUAUUCUCAUGCUCAUCAUACAUUAAAUGUGGGGUGAGAGAAUUAAACAAUUUCUCCAAGUGUCUCCAACUGUCAUUAUGUUUGCUGUGGUUAGUUAAAUGUUGUCUAGAACAGAAUCAAUAAAGUUUUGUACCUUUUGA